rnacentral:rRNA from 1 species
GACGGAGGGUGCUAGCGUUGUUCGGAAUUACUGGGCGUAAAGGGCGCGUAGGCGGCCGAUUAAGUCGGGGGUGAAAGCCUGUGGCUCAACCACAGAAUUGCCUUCGAUACUGGUUGGCUUGAGACCGGAAGAGGACAGCGGAACUGCGAGUGUAGAGGUGAAAUUCGUAGAUAUUCGCAAGAACACCAGUGGCGAAGGCGGCUGUCUGGUCCGGUUCUGACGCUGAGGCGCGAAAGCGUGGGGAGCAAACAGG